AUCGCGGUGACGGAGACCGCAACCGGUCAGCUCAUAACCCAGAGGUCGCAGGUUCGAAUCCUGUCCCCGCUACCA
rnacentral:tRNA from 2 species